ensembl:lncRNA
CACACUGGAAGCUGCCUCGGGUGUUGAAGCACAUCUGCCCGGGCUCACACUCGAUGCCAUCCUCCUCACACUCGUUGAUGUCUGGGUGGCAGAGCCCCACCCGGCUCUGGCUGCAGGAACUGGAGCGGUCCCUGGACUUGGCAACAGUGGAGACAUCGCCCUGCGUCAGCCUCUGUCACCAAGGACCAGGGAAAGGACCACCAGGAGCCAGGCAGAGCCACCUCUGCUUCACCCCCCUCUGCCACCCUUAGCCCCGGAACAUCCCCCUUCCUUCCAGAGCAUGCUCCUCCCUGACUGCUUUAUUCAAGUACCAAAUGGAGUAUUUCUCAAGGACCAAGGGGACCGGAAGCUGCCAGGACUGGGCCAGGCCAGGACCCAGACCUCGGGGCCAGCUCUGGUCUCCUGGCCCCCUGUGCUGCUUCCUUCUGCCAAGGGUCUCCGCCGAUGCCCAAGAGCCCAGCACCGCGAGACACAGGCAGCCCUAUCUGCUGAGCCAGCAGUCCCUGGGCGUGUGUCCUGGGCUCCUUGCGCCUGUCACCUUCACAG